GACGGAGGAUGCAAGUGUUAUCCGGAAUCACUGGGCGUAAAGCGUCUGUAGGUGGUUUCAAAAGUCCACUGUUAAAAAUUGAAGCUUAACUUCAAAGAUGCCGUGGAAACUUUGAAACUUGAGUAUGAUAGGGGUAGAGGGAAUUUCCAGUGGAGCGGUGAAAUGCGUAGAUAUUGGAAAGACCACCAGCGGCGAAAGCGCGCUACUGGGCCAUUACUGACACUCAUGGACGAAAGCUAGGGGAGCGAAAGGG
rnacentral:rRNA from 1 species